rnacentral:hammerhead_ribozyme from 1 species
ACCUUGCUGACGAGUGCCAAGUUGCACGAAACUCGGGUCCAGGGU